rnacentral:rRNA from 1 species
UACGUAGGGUGCGAGCGUUGUCCGGAAUUAUUGGGCGUAAAGCGCGCGCAGGCGGUCCCUUAAGUCUGAUGUGAAAUCCCACGGCUCAACCGUGGAAGGUCAUUGGAAACUGGGGGACUUGAGUACAGAAGAGGAAAGCGGAAUUCCAAGUGUAGCGGUGAAAUGCGUAGAGAUUUGGAGGAACACCAGUGGCGAAGGCGGCUUUCUGGUCUGUAACUGACGCUGAGGCGCGAAAGCGUGGGGAGCGAACAGG